AACGAACGCUGGCGGCAGGCCUAACACAUGCAAGUCGAGCGCCCCGCCAGGGGAGCGGCGGACGGGUGAGUAACGCGUGGGAACGUACCCUUUGCUACGGAAUAGCCUCGGUAAACUGGGAGUAAUACCGUAUGUGUCCUUCGGUAGAAAGAUUUAUCGGCAAGGGAUCGGCCCGCGUUGGAUUAGGUAGUUGGUGGGGUAAUGGCCUACCAAGCCGACGAUCCAGAGCUGGGUUGAGAGGAUGAUCAGCCACACUGGGACUGAGACACGGCCCAGACUCCUACGGGAGGCAGCAGUGGGGAAUCUUAGACAAUGGGCGCGAGCCUGAUCUAGCCAUGCCGCGUGAGCGAUGAAGGCCUUAGGGUUGUAAAGCUCUUUCAGGGGGGAAGAUAAUGACUGUACCCCCAGAAGAAGCCCCGGCUAACUCCGUG
rnacentral:rRNA from 1 species